rnacentral:lncRNA from 1 species
AUCACUGUUGCUGCGUUUCAACUGUCAAACAUUUCUCCCUUAAUGAAAAAUGAAUGUGGUGUACUGAAUCGGGUUUGGCAUGGCAGAAACCUCCAUUUCAAGCAAACGAAAUCCGUGAGCAUGCAACCUCUUCCUCUGGCGCUGUCUGGGACAGCUUGGUACGUUGUCUUACAUGUCUUAAGAAAAUAUCACAAGUUCAAAAACCUCUUCUUCUAACCUCUUUUGCUUUUAGUUUCAUUUUUUUUUCUUAACUUUAUUUUUUGAAGUAUUUUAAUUUAUUAUUAGAUAAAGUCACUUCAAAUGGAGCAUUUCUCUGAGGCUUGGAGCCCCAUUUUGGGCAGGUCUGGGCGGGAGGGCCUGUGCAGGGAAACAGGCAGAAAUAUUUGCUGUUUCGGGAACACUGGAACAUGGUCAAGAGUGAUUUGAAAUGAAUGGAGUGAAUGGUGCCUUGAAUUAUAAAGCCGGGGCCAACAAUGUCCAACAAUACCCCACUUCAUGUGCAGCCAUUAAUGCAACUCAUAAGGAGUUGGAGAAAAGGUAACAAUAGUGGGGCCAAAAUGAUGCAAGAAUCGUACGAGGAUUUCUAAAAACAGAGGGGCCUUGGUGACAAGGAUGGAUUGUCGGAGUCACAGAGAUCCAGGUGGGGAGGAAGCAAAUAGAGGAAGCAUUUUGCUGAUUAUUGUGAAUUCUCCACUGCCCAAAAAUUGUAUGGAGAAUUGAAGUUUGGGGGAGGCAAGCGUGGCUUGUAAAGUUGAAGGCAUUUGCAUAGGAUGCUGCCAUUUACCAAAAGGCUAUUUUAUCCUGCUCUUCCUACAACUGUACUUAUCAAUAAAAGGGCUUGAAAGAAAGCCCCCACAAGCACUGUUGAAUCCCUGUAAAAGUUGCUUCUUCUUCUGUUGUCUCUCACCGUUUCAGCUCCAAAAGCCUCAAAUCAUGGAAGAUGGAACACAUGCUAAGCACUUCCACCAUCCAGCUUUUCAGAAAGCAUGUAAUGCAAGUUAUCAAAAGAAGAGUCCAUAACAAAAACUUCCACUUGUAUUAGUUGAUAUUGCAAAUGUCGAUGGAGAAAAUGGUUGCAGUGGGACUUAGUCCUCAAUUCCGC